GCUUAACACAUGCAAGUCGAGGGGCAGCAUGGUCUUAGCUUGCUAAGGCCGAUGGCGACCGGCGCACGGGUGAGUAACACGUAUCCAACCUGCCGUCUACUCUUGGACAGCCUUCUGAAAGGAAGAUUAAUACAAGAUGGCAUCAUGAGUCCGCAUGUUCACAUGAUUAAAGGUAUUCCGGUAGACGAUGGGGAUGCGUUCCAUUAGAUAGUAGGCGGGGUAACGGCCCACCUAGUCUUCGAUGGAUAGGGGUUCUGAGAGGAAGGUCCCCCACAUUGGAACUGAGACACGGUCCAAACUCCUACGGGAGGCAGCAGUGAGGAAUAUUGGUCAAUGGGCGAGAGCCUGAACCAGCCAAGUAGCGUGAAGGAUGACUGCCCUAUGGGUUGUAAACUUCUUUUAUAAAGGAAUAAAGUCGGGUAUGGAUACCCGUUUGCAUGUACUUUAUGAAUAAGGAUCGGCUAACUCCGUGCCAGCAGCCGCGGUAAUACGGAGGAUCCGAGCGUUAUCCGGAUUUAUUGGGUUUAAAGGGAGCGUAGAUGGAUGUUUAAGUCAGUUGUGAAAGUUUGCGGCUCAACCGUAAAAUUGCAGUUGAUACUGGAUAUCUUGAGUGCAGUUGAGGCAGGCGGAAUUCGUGGUGUAGCGGUGAAAUGCUUAGAUAUCACGAAGAACUCCGAUUGCGAAGGCAGCCUGCUAAGCUGCAACUGACAUUGAGGCUCGAAAGUGUGGGUAUCAAACAGGAUUAGAUACCCUGGUAGUCCACACGGUAAACGAUGAAUACUCGCUGUUUGCGAUAUACAGCAAGCGGCCAAGCGAAAGCGUUAAGUAUUCCACCUGGGGAGUACGCCGGCAACGGUGAAACUCAAAGGAAUUGACGGGGGCCCGCACAAGCGGAGGAACAUGUGGUUUAAUUCGAUGAUACGCGAGGAACCUUACCCGGGCUUAAAUUGCAGAUGAAUUACGGUGAAAGCCGUAAGCCGCAAGGCAUCUGUGAAGGUGCUGCAUGGUUGUCGUCAGCUCGUGCCGUGAGGUGUCGGCUUAAGUGCCAUAACGAGCGCAACCCUUGUUGUCAGUUACUAACAGGUUCCGCUGAGGACUCUGACAAGACUGCCAUCGUAAGAUGUGAGGAAGGUGGGGAUGACGUCAAAUCAGCACGGCCCUUACGUCCGGGGCUACACACGUGUUACAAUGGGGGGUACAGAGGGCCGCUACCACGCGAGUGGAUGCCAAUCCCCAAAACCUCUCUCAGUUCGGACUGGAGUCUGCAACCCGACUCCACGAAGCUGGAUUCGCUAGUAAUCGCGCAUCAGCCACGGCGCGGUGAAUACGUUCCCGGGCCUUGUACACACCGCCCGUCAAGCCAUGGGAGCCGGGGGUACCUGAAGUGCGUAACCGCGAGGAGCGCCCUAGGGUAAAACUGGUGACUGGGGC
rnacentral:rRNA from 1 species